rnacentral:rRNA from 1 species
AGUGAACGCUGGCGGUAGGCCUAACACAUGCAAGUCGAACGGCAGCACAGUAAGAGCUUGCUCUUACGGGUGGCGAGUGGCGGACGGGUGAGGAAUACAUCGGAAUCUACUUUUUCGUGGGGGAUAACGUAGGGAAACUUACGCUAAUACCGCAUACGACCUACGGGUGAAAGCAGGGGAUCUUCGGACCUUGCGCGAUUGAAUGAGCCGAUGUCGGAUUAGCUAGUUGGCGGGGUAAAGGCCCACCAAGGCGACGCUCCGUAGCUGGUCUGAGAGGAUGAUCAGCCACACUGGAACUGAGACACGUUCCAGACUCCUACGGGAGGCAGCAGUGGGGAAUAUUGGACAAUGGGCGCAAGCCUGAUCCAGCCAUACCGCGUGGGUGAAGAAGGCCUUCGGGUUGUAAAGCCCUUUUGUUGGGAAAGAAAAGCAGCAGGUUAAUACCCCGCUGUUCUGACGGUACCCAAAGAAUAAGCACCGGCUAACUUCGUG